GAUGAACGCUGGCGGCGUGCCUAAUACAUGCAAGUCGAGCGAACGGACGAGAAGCUUGCUUCUCUGAUGUUAGCGGCGGACGGGUGAGUAACACGUGGAUAACCUACCUAUAAGACUGGGAUAACUUCGGGAAACCGGAGCUAAUACCGGAUGAUAUUUUGAACCACAUGGUUCAAAAGUGAAAGACGGUCUUGCUGUCACUUAUAGAUGGAUCCGCGCUGCAUUAGCUAGUUGGUAAGGUAAUGGCUUACCAAGGCAACGAUGCAUAGCCGACCUGAGAGGGUGAUCGGCCACACUGGAACUGAGACACGGUCCAGACUCCUACGGGAGGCAGCAGUAGGGAAUCUUCCGCAAUGGGCGAAAGCCUGACGGAGCAACGCCGCGUGAGUGAUGAAGGUCUUCGGAUCGUAAAACUCUGUUAUUAGGGAAGAACAUAUGUGUAAGUAACUGUGCACAUCUUGACGGUACCUAAUCAGAAAGCCACGGCUAACUACGUG
rnacentral:rRNA from 1 species